CCUACGGGGGGCUGCAGUGGGGAAUAUUGGACAAUGGGGGGAACCCUGAUCCAGCCAUGCCGCGUGUGUGAAGAAGGCCCUCGGGUUGUAAAGCACUUUCAGUGAGGAAGAACGCCUGGUGGUUAAUACCCAUCAGCAAAGACAUCACUCACAGAAGAAGCACCGGCUAACUCCGUGCCAGCAGCCGCGGUAAUACGGAGGGUGCGAGCGUUAAUCGGAAUUACUGGGCGUAAAGCGCGCGUAGGUGGCUUGAUAAGCCGGUUGUGAAAGCCCCGGGCUCAACCUGGGAACGGCAUCCGGAACUGGCAAGCUAGAGUGCAGGAGAGGAGGGUAGAAUUCCCGGUGUAGCGGUGAAAUGCGUAGAGAUCGGGAGGAAUACCAGUGGCGAAGGCGGCCUUCUGGACUGACACUGACGCUGAGGUGCGAAAGCGUGGGUAGCAAACAGGAUUAGAUACCCCUGUAGUC
rnacentral:rRNA from 1 species